AACAACAGACACCGGGGACUACCAGAGGUAGGAGGAAGGGAGGGCAGCAGGGGUAGAAAAACUGUCUAUUAGAUACUGUGCUCACUAUCUGGGCGAUGGGAUAAUUUGUCCCCCAAACCUCAGCAUCACCAACAUACCCAUGUAACAAACCUGAAUGUAUAUCUCUGAAUCUAAAACAAAAGCUAAAAUUAUGUAUUUUAAAAAAGAUGAUGAAGAGAGAAUAAUAUACUAUUGAAAAUCUAAUUACUAAUUGCAUUUUCCAUUUAGAAUUCACCAGAAAAAAACAAUUUAUUUGAGAACUUUGGAGAUUCUCCAACUUCAGAUAAUGAUAGAUAUACAUGAGAUUCUAAUGUAGGUAGGAUUUAUUUUAUUUUUUUAAUCUCCUGCUCCUUCUUUUUUGUCGUGUUAAUUCUCUCAUUAACUAUUCAUACACAUUUUGGUUGACUCUUUUCAACAUUUAUACAUUUAUUCAGCCUUCAAGGGACAUUUGGUAAGCACCUUAGUCCUAGGAGUCUAAGUAUGGCACUGAAGAUACAAACCAAUAAGGCGCAGGGUUUGUAAGCAUAUGAAAUAGCACAUGAGAGAGUUUUCACGCAGUUGAAUGAAGACAGAACUGCUGUAACAGGAGACUGAUGACGUAUUUAAUGAGAAGUCAGACCAUUUCCCAUUGUUUCUUGUUUGAACAUUGUAUUCUUCUUCUGUAUCACUCCAGUCAUUCUUCAGAAGACAAAGGAUCCUGUCUCUCAAUCCUGUCUGUCCCAAAUCACAGGAUGAAGCUGUCUGUCCUCUGAAGUCUGGAUCCUCCUUACGAGACUGUACUCAAGCUUGAGAGUCUAAUGGACAGGAUGUGACUCCAGAGUCCAGAGGUAUGGCCAGGUGUUGAUGUGGUGAAGCAAGCCAAGGCAGGCUGGCAUGGCACUGGUCGUGGGCCCCUCACCAGGGGUAGCUGAGGAAGUGAGUGUCCAUAUGAAAGACAUUGAGUUCACCUAUGUCCUUGAUGGUAUCAUGCUCUUGCUUUCAUCAUCUUCCUCACUGCUGCCAUCACAGUCUUCACAACCUCACUGUCAAUGUGUUGCCUGGGGGAAGCUAGAUGAAGAGUACACUAGGAUCUCUCUAUAUCAUUUGUGCAUUUUCCUGUGAACCUUCUGGCUUCUGCUGCUGUACUCUUUCCACCACACUGCACCUCUGCUGGUCUCUCAGCUUUGCAUUUGCUUGUAAAUAUUUAAACAGCCCUGGAAAGAUCUA
rnacentral:lncRNA from 10 species